CCUUCACUGUAUUAAAAACCAAUCCUUAUCUCUUCCUCCUUUGAGCAAACCAGAACAGGAUUUUAGAUUUCUAUCUCAUCAAUGGCCACAGUUACCUAUGCAGCUGUUUCUAUCCCAUCUUUCACUGGCCUUAAGGCAGCAGCCACGACCAAAAUCAGUUCCCCUGUCACGGUCUCAGCUUCUGCUUUUCCAAAAUUGACCAUCAAAGCCUCACUCAAGGAUGUGGGUGCGGCUGUUUUGGCCACUGCUGCAAGUGCAGUCCUGGCCAGCAAUGGAAUGGCUAUUGAGAUUUUGUUGGGUGGCAGUGAUGGGUCGCUGGCUUUUGUUCCAAACUCCUUCUCUGCAAGUUCUGGCGAGGAGAUUGUGUUCAAGAACAAUGCUGGGUUCCCACACAAUGUUGUGUUUGAUGAAGAUGAGAUACCAAGUGGAGUUGAUGCCUCGAAGAUCUCAAUGAGUGAAGAGGAUCUGCUCAAUGCUCCCGGAGAGACUUAUGCUGUGACUUUGACUGAGAAAGGGAGCUAUACCUUCUACUGUUCCCCUCACCAGGGAGCUGGCAUGGUAGGAAAGGUUACUGUCAAUUGACUUUGUAUGGGACGACCUGACGAACACCUCUUCUAUGUAUUCUUCAUUUUAUUGUUUUGAUAUUGUAUUCAUUUUAUUGUUUUGACAUUGUAGAUUUGUGGGUAAUAGUACUUUAUUUGAAC